rnacentral:rRNA from 1 species
CCGGUGAGUAACACGUAUCCAACCUGCCGUCUACUCUUGGACAGCCUUCUGAAAGGAAGAUUAAUACAAGAUGGCAUCAUGAGUUCACAUGUUCACAUGAUUAAAGGUAUUCCGGUAGACGAUGGGGAUGCGUUCCAUUAGAUAGUAGGCGGGGUAACGGCCCACCUAGUCUUCGAUGGAUAGGGGUUCUGAGAGGAAGGUCCCUCACAUUGGAACUGAGACACGGUCCAA